CCACCCUACAGUUGCAGAAACUGAGGCUCAGAGUGGGAGCCGUGCUUGGCCAGGGGAACCUGGAAGGAGCUGUGGGCUGAUGCUGGAGUCUGCGUGCCAGCUGGGGGGAGACAGGGCUCUGUGCAGCUGUCAUGGGGACUUCUUGGGGGCACAGGAGGACCAGGGACCUACCUGGACAUGUGAGCAUUGGUGUUCCCGGCUGGAACGUCGCCCUCAGGUCUUAAUCCAUCGAUCCUGCCACCUCUUGUCUGCACCUUCCAUAUCUUUCCCCAAUAGAAUCUCUUCCAAUAGCAAGGAAAUGAAUUCAAGUCUCUCUGGAAUGUUGUCUAUGGCACCAGAGCGUGGCCACAGGUCAAAGGCACUCAUUUGCAAUAUUCAAGUCUCUGGGGACACGGGAGCCUUCCAAUCCUUCACCCUCCUUCAGCCAGGCCCACCGAGGACACUCCGCUGAUCAAGCCAGCCUGGGGUCCUGUCACCUCUCUUUAAGGCUGGGGGAAUCUGGGUCCAGGAGUUCCUGACUUUCUGGUCUUUGGGUCCUGCCCAGCCCUGAGCCCUCCACGCCCCCAGGACAAGACACCAACUCAGAUCCCACUAAGCCUGAGUGGUCACAGGGUCCUCAGGAGGUCUGGGGCAGCCACUUCCUCUGGCCCAUCCCUCCGUGGCCUCCUGGCCCUGCUAUCCCUGCCCUCCACCCCUUGUGGCCACCCCCCUGGGGCACAGGCGGUUUGUCGGACUGUGUUUGGGGUUUGGCCGCAUCUCCUUCUGCUGGAGCGUAAUCUCCCAAGAGUAGGGCGACGUCUUCUUGUCUUCUCGUUGUUUUAUACCAUUCGUGCCUGGCCACAAUGAUAACAGCUACUGUGUUUUUUGGGACUUGCACAGUCGUCCCUCGUAUCUGUGGGGGAUUGGUUUCAGGA
rnacentral:lncRNA from 1 species